CGCCGCGUGAGUGAUGAAGGUUUUCGGAUCGUAAAGCUCUGUUGUUAGGGAAGAACAAGUGCUAGAGUAACUGCUUGCACCUUGACGGGACCUAACCCAAAAGCCACCGGUAACUACCUGGCCACAGCCGCGGGAAUACCUAAGGGGGAAGCGUUGUUCGGAAUUAUUGGGCGUAAAGGGCUCCCAAGGGGGUUCUUAAGUCUGAUGGGAAAGCCCCCCGGUCCACCGGGGAAGGGCAUUGGAAACUGGGAAACUUGAAUGGAAAAAAAGAAAAUGGAAUUCCCCUGGGAACGGUGAAAUGGCUAAAAAUGUGGAAGAACACCCAUGGCGAAAGGGACUUUCUGGUCUGUAACUGACCCUUAAGAGCCAAAGCGUGGGGAACCAACAGGAUUAAAUACCCUGGUAAUCCACCCCCUAAACCAUGAAUGCUAAAUGGUAAGGGGUUUCCCCCCCUUAAUGGUG
rnacentral:rRNA from 1 species